CUACCCCGCUGAACUUAAGCAUAUCAAUAAGCGGAGGAAAAGAAACCAACCGGGGGUGCCUCAGUAACGGCGAGUGAAGCGGCAGAUGAUCAAAUUUGAAAUCUGGCCCCUCCGGGGUCCGAGUCGUAAUUUGGGAGGAGGAUGCUUCGGCGUCGCGGCCCCCGUCUAAGUGCUCUGGAACGGGCCAUCGGAGAGGGUGACAAUCCCGUCUGGGAGGGGGUGCCCGCGUCCGUGUGAAGCUCCUUCGACGAGUCGAGUUGUUUGGGAAUGCAGCUCUCAAUGGGUGGUAAAUUUCAUCUAAAGCUAAAUACCGGCCGGAGACCGAUAGCGCACAAGUAGAGUGAUCGAAAGAUGAAAAGCACUUUGAAAAGAGAGUUAAACAGCACGUGAAAUUGUUGAAAGGGAAGCACUGGCAACCAGACUCGCCCACGGGGUUCAGCCGGCCUUCGGGCCGGUGUACUUCCCCGGGGGCGGGCCAGCGUCGGUUUGGGCGGCCUGGUUAAAGGCCCCCGGAAAUGUAACGUCCCUCGGGGCGCCUUAUAGCCGGGGGUGUCAUGCGGCCAGCCUGGACCGAGGAACGCGCUUCGGCACGGACGCUGGCAUAAUGGUUGUCAAUGACCCGUCUUGAAACACGGACCAAG
rnacentral:rRNA from 1 species